UUAACAUUUCCUAUUGCAAUAAUUAUGCAUAACAUCCAACUAUAUAUUUAGAUUUAUAGAAUCCCUGUUUUUUUUUCAUGAGCAACUAUACUAUGUUGAACACUCAUGUGUGGGAAAACAGGUUAACUCAGAAUAAUGUGACGGACUAGCGCCGAAUUAAAAAUUUUGCUAAUUCAUAAUAUUAAAUAUUAUAGUUAAAAAUAAAUUGUUAUAAUUUAGAAAUUGAAAUGUUACAAUGUUACCUGUUAUCAUCAUUAUGUCAUCAAGUAAAUAUUUAUACCUGCUCUAACGUGUUAUUUCAAUAUUUUAUGCGUCAAUAAUCAGUUCAUUAUAUGAAAUAUUUAAGUACUUCCGUGUAACUGUUAUAUUGUAUGCAUGUGUUCGCAAACUUUUAUAACCAAGUAAAUUGCUUAGUAAAUUUCAAACUUAUUCGUAAAAGAUGACGCCCCCUGUCCUAUAUAAGUCCUAACAUUACCAAUAACGUAAUUGAUUUAGCAUAAGACUCAACAUUUUUCCUCACUCACUUACUCUUUACAUAUUUGCAUAUGUAAAUAUCAUUUAUCAGCUCUUUCUAAUUUUGGCAAUACAUACGUGUGGUUUUGUCCGUAGCCAGCAAGAACUACAUGCAUUGCCAUCUCACAUUAUGCAUCGCUAUAUACCUAUGUAUGUACGUAUUUAUGUGGACAAUUCACUAUGUAUUUUAAUAUAAUUUUUUAUUUUUGUUUAUUUUACAAGUGUACCUAGUAUACAAUGAUUAAAUACUAACAAACAAUUUAAUUCUAAUAAGUGAAAAAAUAAUUAAAAGCUAAAUGUUACAGAAAUUCAUUUGCUGCUACAGUUGUCUUGCUAAGUAUGAAGACCUCUUAUGUUUCAACCGGUUUUCUCGCCUAGCAGUUUCGAUGAGUCUGAAUGCCUCUAGGCUAGAUGCCUAUAUGCAACUCUAUAGUUGAGCUCCAUGGGACAAAAUUGGCUUUAAAACUUGAUUAUAUAUAAACAGCUUGUUUUGGAUUGAUAGCGUGAAUCUCCUGACGAACAGGUGGUAAAGUUUAGCAAAUUUUGUAUCAAGCUAACGCCUUUUUCUUGAUAUCUUGAAGCGUAGCAUCUUGGUUGAUAUAUAACUUGUAUCACUUGUAAAAAGCAAGUAAAGCAUUGGCCCCAACACGCUUCCCUAGGGAACACCCGCUUCUAUUGGGUGCAAGUUUGAGUAUGCAUCCUCUUGUUUAAUGCGAACUAUAUCAAUAGCCUAAGGCACAUCUAAGAAGGCCGUCGAACAAACGUUCUUUUAUCCAUAGCAUUUUCAACGAAACGAACGUGGUCAAUUGUUAAAUGGUGAUCACGAAAUCCGAAUUGAUGUGCUGGUAUAGGGUGUUUUCGAUCAAUUAUAGUUUUUAGCAUCUUUAUUGGUAUAUUCUCGAAGAUUUUCGAUAAAGCUGGCAGCAACUAUAUUGGCCUAUAUGAUGUGACAUCAUGUAGUGGUUUACCCGGCUUAGGUAUCAUAAUAACUUCAGAUACUUACCAAAGCGAUGUACGUACAUAUAACGUAUAAUGCGCUGUUUACACUCUUUUCUACAACUCUUUGGUAGAUUGGUUCUUUGGUAGUAACUGAAGGAGUGCUGACGAGUGGAUCAAACCAACUAUUUUCGCAGUUUAUUUGCAUCGUUAGGUGUAAAUGUGUGUCUUAAAUUAUUUGCAAAAAAAUAAAUUAAAAUAUUUUGGAGCUUUGUAGAUUUGUCAACUGUAUGUUUCGACAAAUACGUUUGGAAGGAAUAGUUUUUAAAUUGUCUAAUUUUUAUUCUUAGUACAUCAAAAUCAAUUAAUAAAAAUCAAGAUCUGUCAAACAUUAAGGUGUAAAGGAUUUGUCUAAAACGAAUAUAGCCAUUCUUCCAUUCGAAUAAAACUGAGGGUUUGGAAUACGACUUUUGAAAUUGCUCCUAUAGAUGAUUUCUUUGGUACUCCCCAAUAUUAUAAAAAUUUUAAAAUAUGUAUGUUUUUACUAAACAUUUAUUUGAAAAUUGCAUAAUUUAUAUUAUUAAAACUACAAAUGUUUUACGUCUCCGCUAUUUUUUAAAUUAAAAAUUUCUUUGAAUAAAAAUUAUCUUACAAAAUGGUUCGAAAUUAUUAACAAUAAAAAGAACGAUAUCUUAUAUUUUAAUAUAUUGCCAUGAGGAAAUGUGUUUAAUACGAAUAUAAAAUACAAAUUUGGUUACAUAGUAUAAUGGAUUUAUAAGUACACACAACUAUCGCCUCCUGAUUUUUCUUCCAUUAGCACUACGGGCCCGUUUACGACCACGACCCGAUCUUCCGCGUGAAUAACUUCGCGGACCUGUUGACUUCCGUGCACAACUGCGUCCUCUUGGUCGGCCUCGAAUUUUUUUGGAACGUAGAGGCGGUGCAAUUCCAAAGUCGGGAUUACCUCGUCGACCAUCAAAAUUAUUUGGCACACGAUUCUAAAAUACGGGCGAUAAAUUAGUAAAAAUGUAAGUUAUGAUGAUUACAUGUGUAUUACAUGUGUCUUCGAAGGUACUACCAUGUUCUUGUCAGUAUCAUUUUGUACCACCGGAUUUCCAGUCCCUAUUGCUGGCUGUUGAACUUGUUGGUUCGCUGUAUUUGCUAAAAUUUUUGUGUUUUUAGCUGUGCUAGAACGAAAGUUGAAAGGCAUGCGUAUGGUUUCGUUGGUCAAAGUUAAGAUUCCUAGUGAUUGGCCCACGUUUAAGGCACGUUGCAAAGCGAUGCGCACAUUCCCAUAACGUGUAUUAUUAUCAGCAAUUAAUUGUUCUUCUAUAUCUUUGCAAAUAUGAUCGAAUGUAUCACCUGAAACGCACAUUGAAACAUACAUACAUACAAUUGCAUAUUAAAGGCAAUAAAACACCAGUAUAUAUUUUCAAAGUAAUUACAGAGCUCUGGCUUGCGGCUUAGUGUUUCCAAAAUAUAUGGCAACAAUGUUGAAUUUGGAUCCUCCAUUGAAAUAAUAUAUAUGUAUGUAUGUAUAAAAAGGAAUUUAGCUAUAAACUUUUCAAGAAAAAAUUUAAUUCAAAA